rnacentral:rRNA from 1 species
GUAAGUUCGAGGUAGCCGGAAUGUGUAAUGUAGCGGUGAAAUGCUUAGAUAUUACACAGAACACCGAUUGCGAAGGCAGCUUACUAAACUACGAUUGACGCUGAGGUACGAAAGCGUGGGGAGCGAACAGGAUUAGAUACCCUGGUAGUCCACGCUGUAAACGAUGAUCACUCGUUGUUGGCAAUACACCGUCAGCGACUGAGCGAAAGCAUUAAGUGAUCCACCUGGGGAGUACGACCGCAAGGUUGAAACUCAAAGGAAUUGACGGGGGCCCGCACAAGCGGAGGAACAUGUGGUUUAAUUCGAUGAUACGCGAGGAACCUUACCUGGGCUUAAAUGUAGAACGACGGACCGGGAAACUGGUCUUUCUUCGGACGGUCUGCAAGGUGCUGCAUGGCUGUCGUCAGCUCGUGCCGUGAGGUGUCGGGUUAAGUCCCAUAACGAGCGCAACCCUCAUCAUUAGUUGCCAGCGGGUAAUGCCGGGGACUCUAAUGAAACUGCCGGUGUAAACCGAGAGGAAGGUGGGGAUGACGUCAAGUCAGCACGGCCCUUAUGUCCAGGGCUACACACGUGUUACAAUGGUCGGUACAAAGGGCAGCUACCUGGCGACAGGAUGCUAAUCUCGAAAACCGAUCUCAGUUCGGAUCGAAGUCUGCAACUUGACUUCGUGAAGCUGGAUUCGCUAGUAAUCGCGCAUCAGCCAUGGCGCGGUGAAUACGUUCCCGGGCCUUGUACACACCGCCCGCCAAGCCAUGGAAGCUGGGGGUACCUGAAGUCCGUAACC